UGGUUGCUGAUGAUGUUAUGGUGUGUCUUAUAUAAUUGUGGGUGAUUAGGCUCAUCAGUUUCCAUGUAUCCAGCAAAUACUCUUGUCCUGAAACAGAUUCCCAUCGCUUUGGGAAAAACAUCAAACGAGCAUUGUGUGAUAUCCGUGACAUGUUUGGCAUUGGUAAAAACUCAACCAAGUGAAUCCCAAACAACUGGUCAAUUAGUCCUAUGCCAGGUAUAAUAACUCUUCUCAUCAGUGACUGAAAACAAGUCUUGUCAAGCAGCAGUCCAUUCCAGAGUAUUUAAGCAAGCUUUCUUGGGAGAGAUGCCAGAGCCCAUCAUUGCAUAUAUUCAGAAGAGUUUUCUUUUCCACAAGAGAUGAUUUUGACAUUCUCUCUGUAUUUGUAGGAAAGCUGCAAGAUAGCAACAUUUAUUCGAAGCUUGUCUUAAUUUGUUGUACAUUUGAUCAUUUCUUACUUUAAAUAUGUCUACUUGUAUUCUGUAAAUGAAGGGAUGAGAAAUAUAGAUUCCAAUUGUAUGUCAACAGAAGAAAUCAGAAAUGUAUCAGUCACAGACCACCAAUUAAUGUAUUUGCUGCUUUUUAUCAAUAAGGGACAAUUUUGGGCAUUCACCUUAAAAAGGAGUUUCAUUAACCAGAGCAUAAAAACACAGCUUACGAACCUAUUCAGUUUGCUAAGUGGGGAACAGCUGUGUUGUGCUGCUUGAAAUAAAGCCUAUAUUGCCAUAGGCCAAUGGUAAAUUAAUUAACUGUGCCUAAAGAAUGUUGAUUAACACUUUUUAUUUACAUUAACUUGUACUUGUCUCUAAGUUUGGAAAGCAAAAUUGCUGAAUUUUGAAAAUAAUUACUGAAUUCACAGUAAUUUAUUUUGGCAUAAUAUAUCUUGGUAAAAUAGCACAUUUCUAGACAGUGUUGUAUAUAAAUGUCCCAUAAAUUUUCUUCUUGUGUUAAUCCUAAUGAAAUCUGCCUUAUGUGACAGAGGAAUAAUUUCUACACUACUUUUAAAAGUAACUGUUAUUUUUGCUUCAGUGGAGUUCACUUCAAGGUCAGUAAAAGUUGCCUCGUCCCAUAAAUUCUUUGUCCACUUAGAAGUUUAUCACAUGGAAACAAUUGGAAGUAAAAACGGGGGUUAUCGUGUGAAAAUCAAACAUUCAUAAUUAAGAUUUUCACACAAUGUUGCAAAUAAACGGCCAUUAUCCUGGGAAUAUCAGGCAAUUGCGAUAAAGCUUUUCACAUGAUAUUGUGUUGAAAAGCAGUUAAAGUGGCAUUAACCCAUGAAUAACCAGGCAAUAAACAGCAACAAAUCAUUCACGGGAAAAUUCCAAAAAUGCUUUCUUGCAGUUUAUUGCCUGGUUAUUCCCAGGAUAAUGGCUCUUUUAUCGUGCUGUGUCUGAAAAUCCUAAUUGCAAUUUAAUAGUAAUUGUGUGAUUUUCACUGAAGAAAACUUCCAAUUUUCCUCUAUAUGAUAAAGUGCUUAGAAAGGUUGGUCUUUAGAUGUUAGUCGACAAAUACAAGCUAGACUCAGCCUAGUGGAUUUAUUGCAGAUUAUUCACCCUCAUGCCUUAAGCAACUCCCAUCUCAUAUGCAAUCCUUAAAAAAACAGAGGUUACUAAACAUCUUAAAUGUUUCAUGGGUAAACUAUGGAAGACCAACUUCAAGAUGUUUUUAAAAAGUAAAGAACAUGACAAAUCAUGAAUCAUCAUAUCACCAGAGAAUGUGUAAUGGAAAUUACAGGGAAAUUGGUAUGGGAGUAUACAGUUGGCAGAAAGUUCACCAAAAACAAAACAAAACUUGAAAAUACUGAUACUAGGAAAAUGUAACAAUUAUGUCUUCUAGGCAGUCCUUACAAAAAAACCUAUGCAUCAGUUUACCAUUACAGUUCAACAUGUGAUGCGUAUGAGGAGGAUCAUGCCACAUAUUGAGAUGUUUUUCAAAUCCCAGUACUCCAGAGCAUCUAAUAACUAAGAAAUCGGGGGUGCAAAGAAGUCUCCUUUUAUCGUGAGGAUGCAGGAUAUGAAUAAAUUCUUUGCUACUCAAUAUCUUGGCUUGAGGUAUAGAGCAGAUACAUUGUUCUGUAAAUUACAUAUCAAAUUACAAUCCCCCCCCCCUCCCGGGAAUGGGCUGAAAAUGUGUUUUAUGUGAUCAGGUACGCUAACUAAGCAAGAAAAUUAUGAAAAGAAAUAAAAUAUUGCUUGUUGUGCUGCCGUCUGUGGAAGUAUUGCAGCAAGUUUAAAAGUCAGAUGUUUGGAGCUUUAUAUGUACACACAUUAUAUUGACCACUGACCAAUUAGUAAUUUUUAAGAUGGUUUUUUUUUUAUUAUUAUUAAAAACAUACCUAGGUUUGACUCAGGUUUUAGAUGUUUCAAUGUAAUCAUAGCUACUUAGUGCAUUAUCAAUGCAAUUUUUCAUUCUUUAAGGGAAUGUAAAUGUAUAAUUGGCUGAGGAUAUAGUAGUUUUAUUGUGUCUGGAGGGUAAGUGUCAUGUAUUUUUUAAUUUGGCACACAUUUGCUAAGUUUGGUUUAUAUUCUCUUAGAAUGUCAGCUACAUGUAAAUAAUGUUCCUUUGGUUGUAAAUCUUUAAACGCACAGUAAACAUAAGUUAGCCUUAAUAAAUAAAUUAAUAUAA